UUCCAACGUUUCCACAAUAACCACCACCCGGACAAAGAAUCACCAUAGUUUGUUAAAUCAGUGUCAUCUUGUGAUCCAACAUCGAUAGCCAAGAUGUGAUGAGCUCCUUGUCUCAACAUUUCGUCAGCUUAAAGAAAAAAGACAGAUAAUACCUGGCACGUUAUUAACAUAACACCCGUCGACCAAAAGAUGCCCAUCAAGAGGAUCGCAAAUAGGAGGAAAGACACCAGCAAUAGUCAUACUGGCUCGAAUGUAUCUCCAUAGUAAACCUGAGUUGACUUAGCUAUUCAGAAUUUGAUAAAUGCAUCUUUUAUCAACGGGAGUGAGCUUAUAAUGUCGUUUUUUCUUUUUUUUUUCUUUUUUUUUUUUCUUUUUCUUUUUUUUCUUCUACAUUACCAAAUCAAAUAUAACUACAAGAUUUUAAGAAAUAUUUUUCUCAAACGAGCGUUACACUUAAAUUGCAAAAUCUGAUGAUACAAGUAUGCAGCAUUAGAAAUAUGUACAUACAAGUAUGUGUCAGAAAAAUGUUUUAUGUAAAAACGAAAUAAAUUUACUUUAAAUCUAUUUAUCAUCGGUUAGAAGCAUUUGUAAAUUUUUAUCAACGAUAAAAUUAUUUAUUUUUCUUAUUCGUGUACAAGGUCUAUAUAAAAGUAGAUUUAUACGUUUUUACAUAAAACAAAUUUAGUCAUAUUAUUCAAAUAUUACCUGGAAGGUUAUUGACGUACCCGCCGUCGAGUAGGAGAUGGCCAUCAACAGGAUCACACAUGGGUGGCAUAUAACCAGAUAAUGACAUCGAAGCCCGAAUGUAACGCCACAGCGAUCCUAAACACGACGAAUUAUUUCUUUUUUUCUUUUUUUUUUUUUUUCUUUUUUUUUUUUUUU